CAAAUUAGAGCUUGAUAUAAAGUAUUUCAUUUACAUUGAAAAGAAAUUAAAAUUAAUUAAUUUGA
rnacentral:tRNA from 2 species